ensembl:lncRNA LOC102550505 uncharacterized LOC102550505
GGGUAGUCUUGACCUUCUUUACCUGGCCAUCCUUGGGUGGCCAGUGAGGCAAUAGAGACCACUCCUAGCAUUGCUCUACAUAAACGCAGCUCAGACCCUUGUGGGCAGGUGCUCUGAAGCCACAUCUGAGAUGCCUCCCCAUGGGCUCCUCUUCAGGAGCCGGUUCCUUAGGACCCAGGCACUAGAAAGGAUCAGAGCACUGAGCAAACCAGGACCGCAGGACUUUACAUCUAAGAGGAAUACUUGGCCGCCUUUGCCCAUGCGAAAAGCCAAGGGGUGGUAGUUUCUGGGCUCUUGGCGCGAUUCACUAGCUGCCCCAUAACCUCGUGGGCAUUUAGGGAGCCAUGAGGAGCUGGCGCCUCUUCAGCCCUCUUCCUCCAACACAGCCCCCACUUCCCAAGGCCAUCACAGGGAGGUGAGGGUAGGCUGAGGAAGGGAAAUUCCAUCAAGCAGAGGAGUCUGGAACAAGUCCUAGAGCCAAUGUCACCUUGUAUAUUUGCUCCCAUCUGGGACCAGCCCGUGGGAAGCAGCGCCUGGGGACGAGAAUGGAUCGAAGGAGAAUACGGAAGGAUAGAAUUUUCCAGAGCAACAGGAACCCUCAUGUGGCGGAGUGCAAGGCAAACGGGAUAGAUGCGAAGGAUUUGUAGUCAGUCUUUUUGCCACGUUGGGGCCAGAAAGUGGAAGAGAGGUCACUGUAGAGCUUUGCCACAGAGGCCUCCAGCCUGCCUAGAGCAAGGCAUUAUGGGAAGGGCUAGAGCACCUCUGAGGCCCCUCUCAGCAGCGUUUGCAUUAGUCACAGGUGGGAAUGAGCAGACAGAACCAGGUAAGGCGGGGCAUCUUCGGGAUUGUAGGGGUGUGGGUGUUGAUAAGAACACAGUACCUGCUGGCAGCUGCUCCUGCUGGCUGCACCCCCAGUUGACGCAGAAACUUAUUGUCCUCAUGUGUCCUUUUUUCCCUCACAUUCCCCAGUCCAUAGGGGACAGGAACCCGCAAUCUGCAAGACCGGGGUCCUGAUCCCAUCAACACCACUACCAUCCACAGAGAUCACAGUAGCGAUUGCUGUCUUUAGCACCACCAGGACAAAUGUCAGUCACAACUAUGACCAUGCCCACCACCCUCACCUCACUAGCAUCAUUACCUCGACCACGUGAAUAUUUGAUGUUUCACUAUUGCUGUUGGUAGCCUUCACCGCCAUCACCAGCCUCACCGUCAUCACCAGCCCCACCAUUACUCCAUCACCUCACUGACAUCAUUGCCACUACCAUUGUGACAUCACCAUUGUUAUCAUCGUUAACUUUACUGCAUCAUCAUCACCAUCACAAUCACCAUCAUCACCCUCAUCACCAGUUUAAUCUCCAGUUCUAUGUCUAUAAACCAAACUUUCACCCCCAACUCUACCCGUCCCCAAUGUUGUCCCGGUCAUAAUGGUGACCACCAUCAUUCUGAGUCCCACAUCUCCUAGGGCGAGGCAGUUCUAAUGAUGGCAGGUGGACGAUGGCAGAGAUGGCAGAGACUCAGGGUCACUUCUGACAAGGUUGCUAAAAAGGGUAGCCUGGUACUGAGAGGCUAGGACAGUCAAGUCACACAAGGAGGGCCCAGGAAGGUCUCUCUAGAGGCCCCUCCAUUUGGGACUCCAAAAGAAAAAAGUGCCUUCUGGUGGUAGCAGCAGCUAAGGAUGGUGCUGGGGCCCUCUGGAAAGACACCCACUGGGGGAUCAUCCUGGAACUGAUGCCAGCAGAGCAGAGUUGCAAACUGAGUUGCAAGCCCUUCCUGACCCGUGGUAGAGCAGCAGCAUCCUGUAGGCAUCCUGAAUCUAGUUCAUCACUACAGAGAGGCUCAUGACCGUUCUUGCCAGGCAUCAGGAGCACAGCGCUCCACAAAGCUGCAGCAGAGCAAAGAGACCUGAGAGAGAUCCAUGGAAAGGCUCCUGUCCCCACAAGGGUUCUGAGUCAAGGCAACACUCACUACGGACUCUCCUUCAGAAUGUGGUGAGGACAGACAGGGACAGGGAGGUUACAGAGCUGGCUGUGGGUGCUCGGUCACUGCUUGAGGACAGUGGUCUGAAGGGUUCUGUCUGGAGAGGUCCACGCCAGGUCUGUGCAGUCCGAGGGUUUCGGAAAGGAGGGACCUCCUAGCUUCCCAGCCAGACUCCUUGUGUGGCUUAGGCUGCCCUCUGCUGGAAGUUCUGGGAAAUGCAAGAACGCUGAAGCUGGGCCGGCUUCUGGUGAUUUGCUUAGGUGACUCAGGGGCCAGGGAGUCGGAUACUCCUGAGCUGGAGAACUGAGUUAAGUCCAGCCUCAGAGGACCAUGCGGAGGCCAGGCACCCAGGGCGGGGCAGGGCAGGACAGGACAGGAUAGGACGAGAGUUGCCUACCUACCACUGAAGUGGAGCCGGACUGCUACAGAAAAAUAAAAUAAUAAAAUAAAAUAAAAUGAAAUAUAAAAG